rnacentral:lncRNA from 1 species
CCCUGGUCUAACGUAUCGUGGGUUAGGUCUGUCCCCGGGGUGCAUUUGUUCUUUCCCUUUUUGUGUGGAGGCUCAGGUCUAUACUCGCUCUCUCCGGCCGCUCUGUUGCGCCCUUGAGGUGGGCGGUCAGGCUGGUCAUAGUCCGUGCAUCGGGGGGACACGUGUUCUGGUGCCUCGUCGUCGAACUGACGGGGUAGGCAUUAGCAUAGGUAGGUUUUCUUUUGGUCCGGCCACUCCGUGCGUAUCCCUCAUCGGCCGCCAGGAUUUUUGUCCACCUGUUGUUAAUGGUGUCCUAUUCGUCCUGGAGCU